CCCACACAUUUGUUCUCUUUGGUAAAUCGCAAACCUUCUGAUUUUUUUUUAUUAUUAACGGUCAAAAAGUGAAGGGGGCCCACCAUAUUUGGUUCGUCGCAAACGGCGACAUCUCGACGAUGAGGACGAUGACGGAGGGGGCGGCGUGGACGGCGACAUCUCGACGAUGAGGACCAAAAGUUUACAGGGGCGGACAUACAUAUAGCCCAAGGUGGGCGGGCGCACCCCCGGGAAAACAAAUUUUAGUGCUAUUUUCCGUUGAAAAUCCCGUCUGCACCCCUUGGAUUUUUUCGUCCGCACCCCUUGAAUUUUUUCAUCCGCACCCCUUGGAAUUUUUCGUCCACACACCUUAGGUAAAAAAUGUUUUCGAUUUAUAUUUUAAAUUUUUUUAGUAAACUCUAAUUAAAAAAACUACCUAAAUUAUAUAAACUUAUACUACCCAACUUAACCCAAAUACCCAAUACCUUAACCCACUAUUUCAUUAAACGUAAUUAGCCCACUAAUUACUAGCCCAUUAACCAAACUCAACCUAAGUUCAAACUAUAAUAAUUAAAAUAAGCCCAAUAGUCCCUUAGAAUUCAUCCCGCCCUCCCUCUCUUGGGUCGUCUCCUACCAGCGAUCAUCGACCACAACAGCAACCACAACAGCACGUCAUCAGCAGCCGCGAACCACCGCCGUCUGACACCAAAGGGAACCAUGAGUAGGGACGUUAUGGCGCAAUUUCUUGUGUUUUACAUGACCCGACCCGAACCGACCCGAUACGAACCGAUUUUUUUACUUAUACACCUAGGGGCCUAAAAUUUUUAAAAAUGUUUCGCACCCCC